CUACGGGUCGCUGCAGUGGGGAAUAUUGCACAAUGGAGGAAACUCUGAUGCAGCAACGCCGCGUGGAGGAUGACACUUUUCGGAGCGUAAACUCCUUUUAUAUAGGAAGAAGGUGACGGUACUAUAUGAAUAAGCGCCGGCUAACUCCGUGCCAGCAGCCGCGGUAAUACGGAGGGCGCAAGCGUUACUCGGAAUCACUGGGCGUAAAGAGCGUGUAGGCGGAUUAAAAAGUCAGAAGUGAAAUCCUAUAGCUUAACUAUAGAACUGCUUCUGAAACUCUUAAUCUAGAAUAUGGGAGAGGUAGAUGGAAUUUCUGGUGUAGGGGUAAAAUCCGUAGAGAUCAGAAGGAAUACCGAUUGCGAAGGCGAUCUACUGAACAUUAUUGACGCUGAGACGCGAAAGCGUGGGGAGCAAACAGGAUUAGAUACCCGUGUAGUC
rnacentral:rRNA from 1 species